ensembl:lincRNA
CUACACACACGUACAAAUACACAUCCGUGUGCACACACAACAUACACAUAAUGUGCACGUGAGAGCGUAUGUACACACACGUACACACAUAAUGUACACAUACACACGCAGACACAGCAGCUGGGGUUUUUCCUCCAAAGCCUGGGAAUGCGGUCGGCACAUCCUGGGACAGCCACUGUGUGUGUGCCAUCCAAUGCAUUCUGGGACUGAAUGAUGCUUAAGACAUAAAAAUAAGAUGCUGGCCCAUCACAGGCAUGGUGUGUGUCAGCCAGAAACCACUCUGGUUCCUGCCCUGGAAAUUCAGAUUUUACACUAUAAGUCACGAACACCCAGUCUGCACAACCAGAAACACUCAAAGACUCUGAAUAAGCUUAUAACCCUAUUUUCUUUUUUUCAACAACAUCACAGUAUGGAUCAGGCUUCGUAGCUGUCCUCCGAAUUUCUCCUGGGAGGCAGGGGAUAAGCCGAGGUUUAGCUUUUAUCUCAAAUGUGCAACAAUUAUGACUACCGGGCAUAUUAGCAGCUGCAGAAAGUAUGAAUUAAGAGCUAACCUGAAGCCACUCCGUGUGGCUGAUGCAAUACAUUAGAAAAAGCCUUCAAGCCUGUCCUUCAGGGGAAAGCACGCUAGCUUUUCCAAUGAUGGAGGCACAACAUUUUUAAUGUGGCUGGCAAAGCCAUGCAGAAAAAACAGGAGGGCAAGAGGAAAACAAAAAAAAAAAGCAAGUGAUUUCCAGGAGCGAAGCCCCACAUCACUGGGUGACUCUGGCCUUAGAGCAUCCACGACCCGCAGCCCAUGGUAUCUCGAUUGCUGAGAUAAUUACUGGAUUGGAUUCAGGAUUCAAUCAUUUGAACUUGAAAGCUCCCACAGGUUCAGCACUGUUAAUAUUAGAAGUGAUAAUUAGAUUCAAAGUGACAGUGUUCAUAUGGAGGGCUGCAGGCUCCUAGGAUUUCUGUUUUACUCAUGGCAGGCAAUGGGAGGAGAGAGGAGAGAUGCUGCUAUUUGGUCCACACAGGCCCUUUAAGUCUGGGCCAAACUGCUUCUCUGAGCGCUAUUGGCCCUCUCCUCUGCCUUCCUGUGUCCCCAAAGCGUCAGGGCCCCGCCCAGCUCCUGGCUCUGCCCUCCCCAAAAGGACAGCCCCAUCCGCCCUCCCCGCAGGGCUGUGACAAGCGUCCACUCAGCAAGGCCCUCCCUGAGGCCACUACAGAUUCAACACCCCCACCUCAAGGCUCCCCACUCCAGUGUUCGGCCCUGGAGAAUUCCCUGGACCGUCUAGUUCAUGGGGUUGCCAAGAGUCAGACACAACUCAGCACCCUAAAAGAGAAGAAAAAAAUAGCCUCACACGAACUCACGCCCCUUCCCUACUGUGUGCUCCCCUUGUCUUUCCUCCUAGUUGCACACUCUACUAGCAUCUUAGUGACCUCUGCUUGUCUGUAGCCUCCAUCUACCCUGAACACACUCACUCCAGGAAGCUGAGCUUGCGCCUGGUCAUCCACUGUUGACCCCCCAACGCCUGUGACCGCACACUCAGUUUAAACACUUCUGUGUGAGAUUCUGGCUAGAGCCUGCCUCUCGGGGGACCCAGCUCCCACCACCCAUCCACACACACAGGUGCUGGGCCCUGCAAGCAACAAGCACCAAGGUGCUCAGCGUGGGGACAAGCAGGACGGGACACGGUGCCCCGCCUGAAGGACACUCAUGCACACACAUGUGCCAGGCUCCACGUGUCUGUGCCAUAAGCAAACAAGGCAACCCCACAAAGGCGGCACACAGCCCCUCCCCACAGAGGGUAAUGAAAGCGUUAGUCGCUCAGUCGUGUCCAGCUCUUCGAGACCCCAUGGACUGCAGCCCGCCAGGCUCCUCUGUCCAUGGAAUUCUCCAGGCCAGAAUACUAGUCCCUUCUCCAGGGGCAUCUUCCCAACCCAGGGAUCGGAGCAGGGUCUCCUGCUUUGCAGGUGGAUUCUUUACUGAGCCACCAGGGGAGCCCCAUGGGGGGAAGGAAAAUAGUUUCCAUAGCGACUGGACAGCUGAUCUGUCCUUGAUGGAUUAUUAAGCUUUCCACUAGUGGAAAAGGGGACUGUCCCAGAUGGAAAAAAAAAAAGUCAAAGCAAUGGGAAAUGCAAAGUGCUUUAGAAUGACAAGCUUUAAAAUUAAAAGGUGAGGUUCCUUGGAAGACAAGCAAGGAACGUGCAUGAAGCAGGGGUCUAAGUCAUACAGGGCUCAAAAGCCAGAAAUCCUGGAGAGCUAGAAAGUAGCCCAGCCAGGGCCCUGGGCUCCAAAUGCAUGUUCACCAUGGGAAGAAGGUUCCAGAAAGCGGAUCCACUGCCUGCAGGAACGCGUGGUGCCACGUUCCGUCCUGUCCUCCCAGCAAACUUGCCCGCAAGUUCAUCGCAUGCAGCCCGGCUCACUUAUCAGGCGUGAAAAUGCAAGUAUGGUCAAGGAUGCAGUUAAGUCUUUUCCUCCGAAACGCAAGCGGCCGGCCUGGAAGAACCGGACUCACGAAAGCACCGCAGCUCUGAGUCAGCGAGCACCCCACCGCCCGGCGGCCCCAGCGCAGGGUCUUUGAGGACACGCUUUCACCACGACCUGCCUCCUACCCGCUGCGCAGAACAGAGAGAGGGGAGGAUGAAGCGGAGAGACAGCCGUUUCAAGUGGCAUCUCCGUGACCAGGAUGCUAUUCUGAGAUCCAUUCAUCCCGCGGGGGAAGGGGCGGUCACGUUCUCAUUUCAUCUGCAGUGAGGACAUAAUGAGGGUCGGCACCAGCGACCCCCAGGGCCUCUUCAGUGAUCUUGGCUCCGCACACACAGUCCCUCCUUCCUUGCACUCGGCUCAGCCAGAGCCCAGCGUGUGCAGGGGCCGUCAGGGCAGCGCUGGAGGUGCCAGACCCUAACCAGCUCCCUGCCAGCACCUCGGCUCCCCCAGAAAACUCCUGGCUGCAGAAAGCUGCUCAAAUGGAUGGCUGAUCUCCCAAAUUCUAGCUCAGGAGGAUGGGGAAGCGGGCAGGAGCUCCCUGCAGGGGGGGAGAGCAUCCUCCUAGCUGCCCCGGCAGGCUGGCUGUGGCCCCCGGCCGUCACCUGCCUGGGCUCCGUGGCACCAUUUUGUAAGAAAGGUCAAUACUGCGGCUGAGAACUCAUCGGAGGAGCCCCACGCAGGGCAGGAUGAGGUUAAAAACACAAUGCCUUGGCCAUCUGAGAGAGAGAGAGGAGCCUACCGCUGCUCCUGGGUGUGGGCUGACCUGCGCAGGGCACUGCGGUGAACACACAUCUGCAGUCACUGUACUUGAACUUCUGGACGGACGCUGCUUGAAGGAGGUUAACACCACUGUCCCUGGUGUCCCGAGAUGAGGAAACGGAGGCAGAGCACACCCCCGGGGUUUAAGGAGGCCAUCUGCAGAGGGCAUGUGAGACGAUCAAACUGAACAACAUAACUCACACAUGGAUAUGUGGCUUCCUGGUGGCUCAGAAGGGUCAAGAAUCUGCCUGCAAUGCAGGAGACCACGGUUCAAUCCCUAGGUUGGAAAGAUCCCCCUGGAGGAGGGUUAGGCUACCUGCUGCAGUAUUCUUGGGCUUCCCUGGUGGCUCAGAUGGUAAAGAAUCCUCCUGUAAUGCAGGAGACUGGAGUUCGAUCCCUGGGUCUGGAAGAUCCCCUGGAGAAGGGAAUGGCAACCCACUCCUGUAUUCUUGCCUGGAGAAUCCCAUGGACAGAGGAGUCUAGCGGGCUAUACAGUCCAUUGGGUCCUAAAGAGACAUGACUGAGUGACUAACUUUCACUUUAUGCAUGUAUCAAUAAGCUUCUCCUUUGACUACAUUUCAAGCAUUCAUCAUAAAAGGUAAUAAAUGAAUAGUCCCGAAGCCAAGAUGGGCUCUGGAGACAAAAGUAGUGCAAUCAAGAGCCAAGGCGGGACUUCCCUGUGGUCCCGGGGCUGCCACCUGGUGGGAGUUGACCACCACCUCCCAGGUGGUUCCCUGCCUGCCGGUGCAGGGGACACAGGUUCGAUCCCUGGUCCAGGAAGAUUCAACGUAUCUUGGAGCAACUAAGCCCGUGCGCCACAACCACGGAGAGCCUGUGCCCUAGAGCCCACAAUGCAACUACGGAAACCCCCCGCCCUAGAGACCAUGCUUGGCAACCAGAGAAGCCACUGGGAUGAGAAGACCACACACCACAACUGGAGGAAGCCCGUGUGCAGCGGCGGAGACCCAGUGCAGCGAAAAAUCAACAAGACACUUAAAAUUUUUUUUUAAUUUUUAGAAAGAGCGGAGAGGAGGAAUCAUUGGGGCCCAUCAGUUUCCACCCUCGAGAAAGUCCCACAGCGGCCUCUGUGCCGGCCUCCCAGGGCCAUCCUCUGAGCUUCUCUUUCGAGCAAAAGACGAAAGAACAAAGACCCAAAAAAUAUACCAAAGCCUGCCUCAUGAUUUCUAACAACCGGAGUAGGAUGCUUGCCCUGUGUUUCAUCUCAGCCAGAGCAUCCUUCUGCUCGGCAUUCCAAGCAGAGCCUUUGACGUGACGCUCAGCACAAACUGCCACCCAGCUUCUAACCACCCGCCGUGCUUCCGCACAAUGGUAAUCACAGCAGAGUAACCUGAUGAGGAGUGGGUGCACACACCUCCCAGGGACCAUUCUCCACGCACCAUUCUCCACGCGGUGGACCCAGAAAAAAACACCAGAGACCAUUCUCCACGCGGUGGACCCAGAAAAAAACACCAGAGACCAUUCUCCACGCGGUGGACCCAGAAAAAAACACCAGAGACCAUUCUCCACGCGGUGGACCC